rnacentral:rRNA from 1 species
GAUGAACGCUGGCGGCGUGCCUAAUACAUGCAAGUCGAGCGAACGAACGAGGAGCUUGCUCCUUUGACGUUAGCGGCGGACGGGUGAGUAACACGUGGGUAACCUACCUAUAAGACUGGGAUAACUUCGGGAAACCGGAGCUAAUACCGGAUAAUAUUUCGAACCGCAUGGUUCGAUAGUGAAAGAUGGAUCUGCUAUCACUUAUAGAUGGACCGGCGCCGUAUUAGCUAGUUGGUAAGGUAACGGCUUACCAAGGCAACGAUACGUAGCCGACCUGAGAGGGUGAUCGGCCACACUGGAACUGAGACACGGUCCAGACUCCUACGGGAGGCAGCAGUAGGGAAUCUUCCGCAAUGGGCGAAAGCCUGACGGAGCAACGCCGCGUGAGUGAUGAAGGUCUUCGGAUCGUAAAACUCUGUUAUUAGGGAAGAACAAACGUGUAAGUAACUGUGCACGUCUUGACGGUACCUAAUCAGAAAGCCACGGCUAACUACGUGCCAGCAGCCGCAGUAA